GCGCACCGAGCCGCGGGUCCACGCUGCUAAAUCAUCCGCUAAACCAGUCGAUCGAUGGAUCAGACGCAUCGGUAGCGGAUACUCGCGUCGAACUGCAAAAUGUGAACGACGUCGAGUUCGUAUGGCGUCUGGCGAUGACAUUUCGAGUGUCUCCACCGCCUUCUAAGAGGAGCUCGGGUUGCAGCCCGAAGCGCUGCGAGUCGCUCGGUGACGUCAAAGCGAUGAUCAAGACCUCGAGGGACGCGAGCUUGCUGCCAGAGCGGAGUAAAUUGCCAUACAUUCCCAGUUUAGCCAGUGAGUAUUUGGUGAUUGAACCAUUAUGAAUGUGAUCGAUGUAUCUAAACGGGGGAGGUUAAAAUGACGCUGCCUUUGUUAUAGAGUCGACGGACGGAGCGUGCCGCCGUGUUAACGGGUAGGUGGAGUAAAGGUGUGGUGCCAUUCAAGUCUGAUUGCUUCAAUUGUGGAUGUGACUAAUGGGAAAGCGUGGAUGAGACACGGACCCUCGUAAUAAAAUAAAAUAAAAGUUUGUACUGUCAUAUUAUACUAACUUCUUAACAAAAUAUAUUUUUUAAUAUGUAUUGAAAGGUUGUCUUUACGGUUUUUGAUUAUAGUUUUGCAAAUUUAACCAAAAGUCUCCUAGCGACAAAAGGACAAGAGGCCGGCGGGAGUCAUUUUCUGUUUGACAAAACAUAUGAUCAUAUACAACGGACCGGAACCCUGAACCCACCUCUGCCAAAGAACUAUCACGUGCACCGGACCGGAAAACUGCAGCCUAUUGGCGCCCCCCAUGGGCAAGGCCGGCCCCUCUCCCUGAGCUCCUGUGAAGGCUACAGCCUCGGCACUAACCCAACGUUCCUCUUACCCUCUGCGUUGGUCCUCAACAAGAGGAACACCCUCUCCGUGGACCACUGCCUGUUAAACAGGCCUAAAGGGAAUCAACGCACCUACAACCUGUUGACCAUCAAAGACAUUCAAAAAGGUCAGGGGUCGUUCCCGGACCCUGUGGCAGGGGCCCCGUACCCCUUCCUCCAGAGGGUCUCUGAGCUGGCGGCUCUGGAGGGGGACACGGCCCGGCAGGAGAAGCUGGUGAAGAUGACUAAGAACAGAAAGCAGGAGUCCUGAUGAGCCCACAACAUCAUCUCAGAGGAAACCCCUAGAGUAGAACCACCUCGUCUUCGAGGGGACCUCAUCGGUGAAUCCACGGGUCCAGGAUCCAAACAUCUCCCAUGGUGCCAAAGUUAUACAGACUUUUAUCGGUUGCGUCAGUUUCCUGCGUCAGUGUAUUGAUUUAUACUUUCUGUUCCUCGAUAGUGUUUGCCGACAACAGUGAAGUCUGCUCUUUAUUUCAGGUAUAAGUUGUCAGUAUUUCCCUUCUGUUAUCUAAAAUUGUUCUUGAUCAUUCUUGCGCAUCCCCUGAAAGAAAUAGCACAUAUUUACUUCAAAACUGUCUGUGUAUCAGUAUCUACAUUGGAUUGCAAGUCUGGCACAUCAACAGACUGGCUUUUCUAUCCCAUUUUGGCCCAGUUAGCAUUUUGGGCCAAAAUGCUAACUGGCUUUCCAGUAUUUGGCAUUUAUUCACAUUGAAACAAUAAAUGUAUUGUGGAGUUUUUCUGAGGUCAAUAUCUUUGAUGUACACUUAUGGUUAUUCUGUGUUUAUCACACACAGUAGG
ensembl:lncRNA